AGUGAGUUUAUUUAUUAGUCAAUCGUAAGUUACGUAUUUUGUUUAUAACUUCCAAUUAAGAGUUUAUAUUUCGUAUUUACCCGACAACUGACCAGCCGUGGUGUAUAUGAGCGACAGAAACUUAAAAAUAUUAAUUAUGUUUCAGCACGAAACAAGGGAUACCUAACAUCUGGAUAUAUUGUAAAAAAUUUAAGAAUAUUAUCUUAACAAAAAGAUAAAAGAUGAUGUCACGCUAAAAGUGAUUCUCUCAGCAAAUGGGCUACGGAUUCAAAGUAAACAGGAUGGAUAGGUGUUUUAAAUUUUCAAAAUGUUACUAAAGGUAACCAAGCCAUCAGUGGUAGUUGUCAAGAAUGAGGAA